rnacentral:rRNA from 1 species
UACGUAGGGCGCAAGCGUUGUCCGGAAUUAUUGGGCGUAAAGAGCUCGUAGGCGGUUUGUCGCGUCUGCUGUGAAAACCUAAGGCUCAACCUUGGGCUUGCAGUGGGUACGGGCAGACUAGAGUGCGGUAGGGGUGACUGGAAUUCCUGGUGUAGCGGUGGAAUGCGCAGAUAUCAGGAGGAACACCGGUGGCGAAGGCGGGUCUCU